rnacentral:rRNA from 1 species
UGUGCCAGCAGCCGCGGUAAUACGGAGGGUGCAAGCGUUAAUCGGAAUUACUGGGCGUAAAGCGCACGCAGGCGGUUUGUUAAGUCAGAUGUGAAAUCCCCGGGCUCAACCUGGGAACUGCAUCUGAUACUGGCAAGCUUGAGUCUCGUAGAGGGGGGUAGAAUUCCAGGUGUAGCGGUGAAAUGCGUAGAGAUCUGGAGGAAUACCGGUGGCGAAGGCGGCCCCCUGGACGAAGGCUGACGCUCAGGUGCGAAAGCGUGGGGAGCAAA